rnacentral:rRNA from 1 species
GGCUCAGGAUGAACGCUGGCGGUAUGCCUAACACAUGCAAGUCGAACGGUCACUUCGGUGAUAGUGGCGGACGGGUGAGUAACGCGUGAGAAUCUGCCUCUUGGUUGGGGACAACAGUUGGAAACGACUGCUAAUAACCAAUGUGCCGCAAGGUGAAAGAUUUAUUGCCAAGAGAGGAGCUCGCGUCUGAUUACCUAGUUGGUAGUGUAAGGGACUACCAAGGCAUCGAUCAGUAGCUGGUCUGAGAGGAUGAGCAGCCACACUGGGACUGAGACACGGCCCAGACUCCUACGGGAGGCAGCAGUGGGGAAUUUUCCGCAAUGGGCGAAAGCCUGACGGAGCAAUACCGCGUGAGGGAGGAAGGCUCUUGGGUUGUAAACCUCUUUUCUUAGGGAAGAACACAAUGACGGUACCUAAGGAAUAAGCAUCGGCUAACUCCGUGCCAGCAGCCGCGGUAAUACGGAGGAUGCAGGCGUUAUCCGGAAUUAUUGGGCGUAAAGCGUCCGUAGGUGGUUUUUCAAGUCUGCUGUCAAAGACCGUGGCUUAACCACGGAAAGGCAGUGGAAACUGAGAGACUAGAGUUCGGUAGGGGUAGCGGGAAUUCCCAGUGUAGCGGUGAAAUGCGUAGAUAUUGGGAAGAACAUCGGUGGCGAAGGCGCGCCUACUGGACCGAAACUGACACUCAGAGGACGAAAGCUAGGGGAGCGAAAGGGAUUAGAUACCCCUGUAGUCCUAGCUGUAAACGAUGGAAACCUAGGUGUGGCUUGUAUCGACCCGAGCCGUGCCGAAGCUAACGCGUUAAGUUUCCCGCCUGGGGAGUACGCA